GACAGAGGUGCCGAGCGUUAGGCGGAAUCACUGGGCUUAAAGCGUGUGUAGGCGGGCCGUUAAGUGUCUUGUGAAAUCCCCCGGCUCAACCGGGGAACGGGCGCGGAUACGACCGUCCUGGAGGGGCGUAGGGGGACCUGGAACUUCCGGUGGAGCGGUGAAAUGCGUAGAUAUCAGGAGGAACACCUGUGGCGAAAGCGGCUCACUGGACCAUAACUGACGCUGAUGCACGAAAGCUAGGGGAGCAAACAGG
rnacentral:rRNA from 1 species